CCCUUAGAUGUUCUGGGCCGCACGCGCGCUACACUGAUGCAUUCAACGAGUCUAAAACCUGGUCUGAUAGGGCUGGGUAAUCUUUUGAAUGUGCAUCGUGCUGGGGAUAGAUGAUUGCAAUUAUUCAUCUUCAACGAGGAAUUCCUAGUAAACGCAAGUCAUCAGCUUGCAUUGAUUACGUCCCUGCCCUUUGUACACACCGCCCGUCGCACCUACCGAUUGAAUGGUCCGGUGAAAUCUUCGGACCGGGAACAGCGACCUCUGGCGUGGGCUUGUUCACUCAGGGGACGCUGUCCCGGGAAGUUGCUUAAAUCUUACCAUUUAGAGGAAGGUGAAGUCGUAACA
rnacentral:rRNA from 1 species